AUACGGAGGGGGCUAGCGUUGUUCGGAAUUACUGGGCGUAAAGCGCGCGUAGGCGGAUUGGUUAGUUGGGGGUGAAAUCCCAGGGCUCAACCCUGGAACUGCCCUCAAUACUGCCAGUCUAGAGAUCGAGAGAGGUGAGUGGAAUUCCUAGUGUAGAGGUGAAAUUCGUAGAUAUUAGGAAGAACACCAGUGGCGAAGGCGGCUCACUGGCUCGAUACUGACGCUGAGGCGCGAAAGCGUGGGGAGCAAACAGGAUUAGAAACCCCUGUAGUCC
rnacentral:rRNA from 1 species